GAUUACAGCACAUCUAUCCCGCUCAUGCCCCACCUCCUCCCCCGAGAUUCCCUCCCCCCCCCGGGGCUCCCUCAUCUCUGCGCAUUUCCCCAAGUGCGCCCGGAAUUCCCCCUCCCCCUUGGAUUCCCCCCUUCUCACCUUAACUCUAACCCUCCCGUGUCUAACGCAGUGCCCUCGAUUAGCCCAGUGAUAUCACAUCUACGCUUACCUAUCCGCCCGCGUCCCCCUUGUGCUCCAAUACCUCGCAAGAUGAAUCCACCCCCUCUAUUCUCCCCCUCCAGCGACCCCGGAGCAGACGGUUCCGUCCUCUCGGGCACUCUGACACUGGACAUGCAUGGUUGUCGUCAGCUUGCGUUGCGAAAUCUUGGGUUAAGUACCGCAAAGAGCGCAACCCUUCUCCUUUCUUGCCCGCGGUUCGGCCGGGAACUCAAAGGAGACUGCCAGUGAUAAACUGGAGGAAGGUGGGGAUGACGUCAAGUCAUCAUGGCCCUUACGAGUAGGGCUACACACGUGCUACAAUGGCGUAUACAAAGAGAAGCGACCUCGCGAGAGCAAGCGGACCUCAUAAAGUACGUCGUAGUCCGGAUUGGAGUCUGCAACUCGACUCCAUGAAGUCGGAAUCGCUAGUAAUCGUAGAUCAGAAUGCUACGGUGAAUACGUUCCCGGGCCUUGUACACACCGCCCGUCACACCAUGGGAGUGGGUUGCAAAAGAAGUAGGUAGCUUAACCUUCGGGAGGGCGCUUACCACUUUGUGAUUCAUGACUGGGGUGAAGUCGUAACAAGGUAACCGUAAAUCGAAUU
rnacentral:rRNA from 1 species